AUGUCUGGGAAACUGCCCGAUGGAGGGGGAUAACUACUGGAAACGGUAGCUAAUACCGCAUAACGUCGCAAGACCAAAGAGGGGGACCUUAGGGCCUCUUGCCAUCGGAUGUGCCCAGAUGGGAUUAGCUUGUAGGUGAGGUAACGGCUCACCUAGGCGACGAUCCCUAGCUGGUCUGAGAGGAUGACCAGCCACACUGGAACUGAGACACGGUCCAGACUCNUACGGGAGGCAGCAGUGGGGAAUAUUGCACAAUGGGCGCAAGCCUGAUGCAGCCAUGCCGCGUGUAUGAAGGAGGCCUUCGGGUUGUAAAGUACUUUCAGCGGGGAGGAAGGGAGUGAGGUUAAUAACCUCAUUCAUUGACGUUACCCGCAGAAGAAGCACCGGCUAACUCCGUGCCAGCAGCCGCGGUAAUACGGAGGGUGCAAGCGUUAAUCGGAAUUACUGGGCGUAAAGCGCACGCAGGCGGUCUG
rnacentral:rRNA from 1 species